UGUCCGGUGGUGUAACGGAAGCACGGCGAUCUGAUACGUCGGCGGCGGUGGUUCAACUCCACCCCGGACUA
rnacentral:tRNA from 1 species